GACGAACGCUGGCGGCGUGCUUAACACAUGCAAGUCGAACGGAAAGGCCCUGCUUUUGUGGGGUGCUCGAGUGGCGAAAGGGUGAGUAACACGUGAGUAACCUGCCCUUGACUUUGGGAUAACUUCAGGAAACUGGGGCUAAUACCGGAUAGGAGCACCUGCUGCAUGGUGGGGGUUGGAAAGUUUCGGCGGUUGGGGAUGGACUCGCGGCUUAUCAGCUUGUUGGUGGGGUAGUGGCUUACCAAGGCUUUGACGGGUAGCCGGCCUGAGAGGGUGACCGGCCACAUUGGGACUGAGAUACGGCCCAGACUCCUACGGGAGGCAGCGGUGGGGAAUAUUGCACAAUGGGCGGAAGCCUGGUGCAGCAACGCCGCGUGCGGGAUGACGGCCUUCGGGUUGUAAACCGCUUUCGCCUGUGACGAAGCGUGAGUGACGGUAAUGGGUAAAGAAGCACCGGCUAACUACGUG
rnacentral:rRNA from 1 species